GCUGGCGGCGUGCCUAAACAUGCAAGUCGAACGAGAAAGUGGAGCAAUCCAUGAGUAAAGUGGCGACCGGGUGAGUAACACGUGACUAACCUACCUCCGAGUGGGGAAUAACUCCGGGAAACCGGGGCUAAUACCGCAUAACAUCGCAAGAUCAAAGCAGCAAUGCGCUUGGAGAGGGGGUCGCGGCUGAUUAGCUAGUUGGCGGGGUAACGGCCCACCAAGGCGAAGAUCGGUAUCCGGCCUGAGAGGGCGCACGGACACACUGGAACUGAAACACGGUCCAGACUCCUACGGGAGGCAGCAGUGGGGAAUUUUGCGCAAUGGGGGAAACCCUGACGCAGCAACGCCGCGUGGAGGAUGAAGCCCUUUGGGGCGUAAACUCCUUUCGACUCGGACGAUAAUGACGGUACGAGUGGAAGAAGCACCGGCUAACUCUGUGCCAGCAGCCGCGGUAAUACAGAGGGUGCGAGCGUUGUUCGGAAUUAUUGGGCGUAAAGGGCGCGUANGCGGUGCGGCAAGUCACCUGUGAAAUCUC
rnacentral:rRNA from 1 species